GUCUACUGUCACGCCACCCAGAACACACCCAAUCUCGUCUGAUUUCUGAAACUAAGCAGAGUCAAGACUGGUUAGUACUUGGAUGGGAGACCACCUAGGAAGACCAGGUGCUGUAAGAA
rnacentral:rRNA from 1 species